rnacentral:misc_RNA from 1 species
UGAAAGAAGUAUAUUUCCAUUAAACACAUGCAUGCGAAAAAGAAAGACCAUAGGACGGUCCCAUUUAAUAAUUUUUAUCAUCAUAAACCAACACUGGCUCAACUUUCCCUUCCACUACCCUUGCUUAAACUCAAUACUGCUAACAAUUUGCAAGUAGGCAGAGGCAACCUACUAAACAGAUUAUAAUCACAGGAGGAUAGGAAACGUCUUUCCGUAUAACUCACAAUUUUAAUCGAGUGGCAGUUCGCCGCUUGCAUCAUCCAUAGACAAGAGAGACUUGAGAAGCCAUUUUAAAACAAAAUCUACUUUUAAGUCUCCCCAAAUUAAUGGAAUCAUCUCAUCUGAGCAUGUUGCUUGGCGGACGUCGAUGAAUCCAUCUGCUGGCUCUGUUGGUUUUUGUCCUCAUGAUGUGAAUUUACACUUUUUUCUGCUUCAGCUCUUUCAAGC